CUGCCCAGUGCCGGAAGGUGAAGGAUGAUGGUGACCUCAUGACAGGGGGGCUGGGCGAAGCCUCGGUGAACGCGGCGUAACUAUAACGGUUCGAAGAUAGCAAAAUUUCUUGUCGUGUAAGUUCUGGCCCGCACAAGAG
rnacentral:ncRNA from 1 species